CUCGGCCUGUGAUGCAGACCUAUUUAUGUUCGAGUUUAGAGUUAAGCAGUUCCUCGCAAAAACGUUAUCAUCUGAUUUCGCUUCAAAGACGAACCUUCUAAGUACCUCCCAUAAGUAAUGAUUCUGAAAACGGUCAAAUUGCCUUAUGGCAGAUUGUGUAAAUAUAUUUAAAAGGUAAUAGUAAUGUCUAAGAAGAUGGGUCAGGUUAAGUGGUUCAACGAAAGCAAAGGUUUUGGUUUCAUUGAGCAACAAGACGGCGGUAAAGAUGUGUUCGUACACUUCUCCGCUAUUAUGACCGAUGGUUUCAAGACCCUGGCAGAAGGCCAGCGUGUUGAGUACACCAUUCAGGACAGCCCGCGUGGGCCGGCUGCCGCUAACGUUGUUGCUCUGUAAAUCCGCAGGGAAUAACGUAUAGAGAACGAAAUACAACCAUAACGAUGCAUCUAUGCUAAGUUAUUGCG
rnacentral:sRNA from 1 species